rnacentral:rRNA from 1 species
AACGAACGCUGGCGGCAUGCCUAACACAUGCAAGUCGAACGAGACCUUCGGGUCUAGUGGCGCACGGGUGCGUAACGCGUGGGAACCUGCCUUUAGGUUCGGAAUAACUCAGAGAAAUUUGAGCUAAUACCGGAUGAUGUCUUCGGACCAAAGAUUUAUCGCCUUUAGAUGGGCCCGCGUAAGAUUAGCUAGUUGGUGGGGUAAAGGCCUACCAAGGCGACGAUCGUUAGCGUGGUCUGAGAGGAUGAUCAGCCACACUGGGACUGAGACACGGCCCAGACUCCUACGGGAGGCAGCAGUGGGAA